UGUGUACUCCCUCCAUUCCAAAAUACUUGACUUCCAUUUGUCCAAAAAUGGAUGUACCUAUAUACUAAAACAUGUCUAGAUACAUAUAUAUUUUGACAUAUAGAAGGCAUGUAUUGUGCAAUGGAGGGAGUAGAAU
rfam:Triticum aestivum genome assembly, contig: Triticum_aestivum_CS42_TGACv1_scaffold_501846_6BL